rnacentral:rRNA from 1 species
CGUAUCACCCAAGACAACUUUACGGAGUUGACGAUUGACGGAGCGAAGCGACGUCAAAGCGUUCAUUAAAGUCGAGUUGGCUUAGGGAUACGUUCGUUGGGUAGGGGAGCGUUCUGUAAGCCUGUGAAGGUGUGUCGUGAGGCAUGCUGGAGGUAUCAGAAGUGCGAAUGCUGACAUAAGUAACGAUAAAGCGGGUGAAAAGCCCGCUCGCCGGAAGACCAAGGGUUCCUGUCCAACGUUAAUCGGGGCAGGGUGAGUCGACCCCUAAGGCGAGGCCGAAAGGCGUAGUCGAUGGGAAACGGGUUAAUAUUCCCGUACUUGGUGUUACUGCGAAGGGGGGACGGAGAAGGCUAUGUUGGCCGGGCGACGGUUGUCCCGGUUUAAGCGUGUAGGUGUGUGUUCCAGGUAAAUCCGGUUCACUUUAACACUGAGGCGUGACGACGAGGCACUACGGUGCUGAAGCAACAAAUGCCCUGCUUCCAGGAAAAGCCUCUAAGCAUCAGGUAACACGAAAUCGUACCCCAAACCGACACAGGUGGUCAGGUAGAGAAUACCAAGGCGCUUGAGAGAACUCGGGUGAAGGAACUAGGCAAAAUGGUGCCGUAACUUCGGGAGAAGGCACGCUGACACGUAGGUGAAGUGAUUUACUCAUGGAGCUGAAGUCAGUCGAAGAUACCAGCUGGCUGCAACUGUUUAUUAAAAACACAGCACUGUGCAAACACGAAAGUGGACGUAUACGGUGUGACGCCUGCCCGGUGCCGGAAGGUUAAUUGAUGGGGUCAGCGUAAGCGAAGCUCCUGAUCGAAGCCCCGGUAAACGGCGGCCGUAACUAUAACGGUCCUAAGGUAGCGAAAUUCCUUGUCGGGUAAGUUCCGACCUGCACGAAUGGCGUAAUGAUGGCCAGGCUGUCUCCACCCGAGACUCAGUGAAAUUGAACUCGCUGUGAAGAUGCAGUGUACCCGCGGCAAGACGGAAAGACCCCGUGAACCUUUACUAUAGCUUGACACUGAACAUUGAGCCUUGAUGUGUAGGAUAGGUGGGAGGCUUUGAAGUGUGGACGCCAGUCUGCAUGGAGCCGACCUUGAAAUACCACCCUUUAAUGUUUGAUGUUCUAACGUGGACCCGUAAUCCGGGUUGCGGACAGUGUCUGGUGGGUAGUUUGACUGGGGCGGUCUCCUCCUAAAGAGUAACGGAGGAGCACGAAGGUUGGCUAAUCCUGGUCGGACAUCAGGAGGUUAGUGCAAUGGCAUAAGCCAGCUUGACUGCGAGCGUGACGGCGCGAGCAGGUGCGAAAGCAGGUCAUAGUGAUCCGGUGGUUCUGAAUGGAAGGGCCAUCGCUCAACGGAUAAAAGGUACUCCGGGGAUAACAGGCUGAUACCGCCCAAGAGUUCAUAUCGACGGCGGUGUUUGGCACCUCGAUGUCGGCUCAUCACAUCCUGGGGCUGAAGUAGGUCCCAAGGGUAUGGCUGUUCGCCAUUUAAAGUGGUACGCGAGCUGGGUUUAGAACGUCGUGAGACAGUUCGGUCCCUAUCUGCCGUGGGCGCUGGAGAACUGAGGGGGGCUGCUCCUAGUACGAGAGGACCGGAGUGGACGCAUCACUGGUGUUCGGGUUGUCAUGCCAAUGGCACUGCCCGGUAGCUAAAUGCGGAAGAGAUAAGUGCUGAAAGCAUCUAAGCACGAAACUUGCCCCGAGAUGAGUUCUCCCUGAGACUUAGAGUCUCCUGAAGGAACGUUGAAGACGACGACGUUGAUAGGCCGGGUGUGUAAGCGCAGCGAUGCGUUGAGCUAACCGGUACUAAUGAACCGUGAGGCUUAACCUUACAACGCCGAAG